rnacentral:tRNA from 1 species
GGUAUUAUAUUUUAUUAAGAAAAUUUAACUUGCAAUUAAAAAGAAAUAGCCAUCUAUUUAAUACCA